AGUUUAACGGUAGCCUUUGUGAGAAUUUUAAUUUCUGUGUUCUUCCUUCCUCCUGGAAAGUAUGAUGCGAAGUGGUGAGAAUUAUAAAGACAGAACUUCUACAUACACAUACACAGAAAGCAGAAAUAUUAUUAACAGAAAAAGUUUAAACAUUUAUGAGCCUUACAAUUCAGCAGCUCCAGACUCCCCCAUCCAUGUUCAUUAUUUAUGCCUGCAUGGGUGGUGGCAUUGGAUGAAACUGCAGUCACUGUACAGUGUGUCCUGCUUUUCCCAGUUGCUUUUCCACUAAGGGAAAGAUCCUCCCAUGAACAAAAGUUUAUAUCCACACGUUGGACUCUUGCAAUUUGUGAGACAGCAGGGAACCAGGGUUUACUAAUUGCAACUGUUCCUGGUGCCAAAGAAUGAGGGAUCUCCGGAGUGGGGAAGGAAGAUUGAUGUUCUGUGUAUGACAUUUCCCAGGGAAGCUCCUCUGCUAACAGGCAUGCCGUUCCCAUUGAUCAGUUUCUUAAUCCUAGCUGUGCUGUCAGAAUCCCCAGUGGAGCUUCUGAAAAAUACCAACGCCUUGGUCCUCCCCCAGAUACAUAAUUGAUUGGGAGUGGAGUCCUGAGGUGAUUCCGAUGCAUGGCUAAAAACUGUAAACACAGCAAUUUAAUUUCAGAAAAUUCCUUUCACCAUUCUCCCUUUAUAUUCACCAUUCAAUUUACCAUUCUAACCUGGGUUACCUGCCAUUAAAUGUUUGAGUUCUGUUCCCUACCCCUUUGUCACUGAGGGUCUUUCCUGCCUUACUGGCUUCUCCCUUAUUCCCUAUACCUGUCCUAUUGUCCAACUGUUCUGUUUCUCCCUUCUCUCCUUCUCCUUCAUGCAGUCUUAAUGCAGCCUCCGUACUGGAGGAUGCUAGAGGAAGUUACAUAGAUAUAUGUACAUCUUCUAGCCAAUUAUAUUCAAAACAAAGAUGAACAUGGAUGGCUAUGGGUUAUACCCUAUACCCCUGUCACCUCUCACUCCACAAAAUGGAAUUCAUGUGAUUGCACCAAAACUAUAGUCUAAUGCAUAUAUUCAUAAUCAGCUGAUUAGAUUAUAGAAACAUUUCUGGAUAUUUGUAACAAAACUUCUGAAGAGACACCGAUAAGUUCCAUUUCGCUACUCUGUCUGGCAACCAUAGAGAUAUGCCACUGGAUCUUCCUUCAGGAAGAGCUUGCCCUUCAACUGGAGGCCAUGCAGUUAGCUCACGGCCUCCAGCUACAGCACCUUUCCAAAUCUGAAGCAGCAUUCAGCUAAAGACAAGGACUGACAAGGGCAGCUCCCAGCCACUGACAACUCGUUGGGCUAUUAGGACCAGGCCAUCUUUUCCCAAUGUGGUACUCUUCUAAUGGGCACACUGGGCUCUGGAGCUCCCCACUGAGUUAGCCAAGACUUUAUCUGACUUACAUCUGAUUUACAUCGUAGUCUGAGUCCCUCUCUACUCAAUUCUUCUUCUUAUACCUCUCCAUCUUUCCUUUCACAGGUGUCAGCUCUGCAUCACAGUUGAAGGCUGUCUCUGCUUCAUUUUCUUCUUUCACCUUUUAUCUUUCUUAGGCAUUGAACACUAAGAAACUUCCCCUCUUAACUUUCUCUCAGCAUCUGCUUGCCAGAUAAGCUGUGUUGACGUUAUUAUCUGCCUUAAUAUUAUUAAACAUUGUUUAAAAGUUUUAUUACUGUUUUCCAAUUAUUAAAAAAUAAUUUCAAUCUUUUCUGUAUAUACACACACAGAAAAUUAGAGUGAAAAUUUUACCACCUCUAAAAUCUACUGUUUGUAUUUUUCUCCCAGAAUUUUAAUACACGUUUGAAAGGUUCUGUAACGUGGUUACAAAUUAUUUCUUAUUUUAUUCUAAUUGUGUAAAAAUCUUAUCUCUUAAAAAUCUUGUCAUUAAAAAUCCAUUCUCAGAGUUCUAAAAUUAAGUAGUCUGAGCAGAGAUAAUUUAAUGCUGAACCAAAUGUAAGUGAUUCCAGUUUGAUAGGUUUGGAAAACUCCCAUUAGCCAGAGCUAUAUUUCCUGAAGGGACUUACUUGUUCCUCUGAAUGCAAACAAAGCAGUCCUCUUCCUUUAGUUACUUACCACAUUGUAUUGAUUAUUAUUAUUGUCAUUAUUAUUUUGAAAAAAAUACAUGUUGUCAUAAUAUAUUUUGUUGACAUAAUUUCUUCAUUUCUGAUCUGCACAAACCUUGGCAUAGUGCUAGAUACAUGGUUUGUGUACAUUAAGUGUUUAUUGUACUGAAUUAGGCAAAAUUCUUAUACAUAUUUUGACAUCUGCAACUUCAUUGGUGUUCUCAGGGGGAGAAAUCCUCAGUAUAACUUCCAUGUACAUAGAUGAGAAUGGGAAAUUGUUAUUUUUCUUUGAAGUCCUGCCAAAAGAAACUUUAGGUCUGAUAAAACAGUUAUUUUUUUUAAACAGAUGUCGAGCUCUUGAAGACUUUAAGAGUCCUUAUUAUUUCAUAAAUCAGCAUACUCCAACAUACAGCUUUGCAGUAAAGAGAGGGUUUAAGUCAGGAAAACCUUGUUAAAUAAAUGGUCUACAAGUUAGAAUGGCAUAUUGCCUUUCUCCGAAUCCUCAGGCAGAGGCCAGGGUUUGGAGCCAAGAUUAAAGGCUGGAUGAGUCAUCUGCCAUGGUAUGGCAAUGCCUCUGUUCUCACGUCUGCGCAAUCAAAUCUCAAACUGAUUUCUCCUUCUCGUUUUUUUCUUCUCUUUUUGGCAAGAGAGAAAAUAACUUCAGCAUUCUUUUUUAGGAGGGUAAAAAAAAGGAACACCAUUCUAUUUCCCAAAAUUGCAUAUAGAAUUUCAAAGAGUGACCUCUUCCCAGAUAUAGCAAAACUUAUGGUGGCGAUGGGAAUGUGUCACCUUUUGAAGUAUGAAAGCAUUAAGAUCCCCAGGCCUGCCCAUCUCUUCAUUGUACUUUUGGAGAAUGGUAGGAUUAGGAGUAAAGGAGUAUUAAAUAUAAUACCAUCUUCCCCAGACAGUAAUUAAUAUUUCUGGCCAUGCAGACUGUCACGUGGUAUGUCACAGUGGCAAUAAGUGAAUGACGAGAAGACAGACUCCAGGGAUACUGAGAUGUUCAAAGCCUUGCUUUUGUCACAGUUGGCCGAUUAAGUCAUUUUUAGAAUUUGGACUUCUCAGGGGCAGAGGUUUUUUCUUUCAUAUUAGAUAUACUCUUUUCCCCACACCGUUCAGUUACAUAAUAGGAUAAGUGCAUGUACAAAGUCAUGCCUUUUUAGUAUAAAACACAGAAUCAUAUUCUUCAUUUUUGAAGUUAUAGUUAUUCAUGAUAUUACUAAUUUUGGACACAGCAAAUAAGACACUGCCAGAAGUACUUUCCAGGCAGAAUAAAUAUGUAGCUUGCUCCUAGCCGAGUUUGUUAAAUAUAGCUUUGAUCCCCCCCACCC
ensembl:lncRNA